ensembl:lncRNA
CGCGCAGGGCCGAGGCGGCCCCCGCUGCAUCCAACAGUCACGUUACAGAGGGCCAAAGAUUCGCAUGUACGUAAGCCCCCAAACCCAGAACUCUAUAAGGCAAAUUCAGCAAUAGACGCAUAGAGCUGUAGGUGCUGCCGUCAAUAAUAGCAGCACAGAGCUGUAGGUGAUGAAGUCACAGCCUCCGUUUGUGAGUCUGACUUGUUUGGCACUGCUGCUUUGACAAAAAGAAAUACAGUUUCUGAUUGCAUGGCUGGGGCUGCUAGGCUCAUACAGGCUUUAUCAGUAUUCUUAGUGCUUAAAGGUGGAAAUUGCAAUGAUGUUUAAACAGAGAACAAUAAAUGUAAAAACUGUUAUUCUGGUUUACGUCCGUACUCCCACAUACUUCCUUUCAAGAUUAAAGUCUGAAAGCACACAGUGGAGUAUAUACUUAAAAAUGUAAAACGUACGAUAGUUCCAUUAGGAUGUAUAAUAGGAAAAUGGGCCAUUUAGAUUUCCAAGAAAAUAAAUAUCUCUGCAUACAGAGACAAGUUUUCAUUUUUCUGAGGUACUCCUAAGUAUGGUGUCUUCAGAAGUAGAAAUGAUCAUCUUUUGAUUAUCUGACAUUCUCUGCUUACAGCUUUUAAUCUGUAAUAGCAACAGCACUUCGUCUCCUGUUUAAGAACCUGCAGUCUUUCUAAAGCACAGUUCUGCUCAGUGCAAUUAUUUAUUCUUCAUUUAUUCAUUUAUUUGUUUUGAGGUUAUGGAAAUAUGUAGCCAUUUCAAACACUUAGAGGGUAAAGGAGUAUUUUAAUGAAAAAUGCAUGACAGAUUUGGAAAAUGGUAUUGGGAAACGACUUGUUGGAAUGGAAGGAAAUGGCAGGAAGCUGUACUUUACCAAAUGCGUUGUGGGAAAGAACCCAGAGGCAUGUUUCCUAAAAGAGCUACUACUGCAACCGUGUGAUGAUAGAUAAAUGUGCUUACCCAUUUCCGUCCUUGCUACUGAUCAGCCAUGUAAUUCAGAUAUGGUGACCAAAUCCUUUCUGGUCUGAAAAUGAAAAAUAGCAUUUCGAUCUCCUUAAAGUUUUCAUGUGCAUCACAAGAAUAACAUCCCCAUUUUGGGAAAACCCACAGAUGAAGCUGUGGCCCAAAAAAGGACCCAAACUGCAGAUGCAGUGAAUGUCAUAACUCAGGAUUGCAGUGCAUUGGCAGGACUGUUUGGGGAAGCUUGCAUAACAUCUGCUUGCAACAUGCCUGAUUCAAACCAGCACUCCUCCCUCCUCUCAUGAACACUGAUGACUUUUUUAAAAGUAAAAUAAACUUUGUCAUUAUGCAAGCAAAAUUAUUUUCUGGGUGAUUAUCCAGAUCUGCUUGAAGCAACAGCCCACAACACGAAAGCAAUUUACAUUUACUAAAUAUUUUGAUCAUAGUUGUGUCCUUCUUUUGUUUUCUUUGUCCUUUUAUUCCUGUGUUCUGAUCUCAUUCCUGUGAGCCAUGCUCUUUAUGACGCCAGAGGGACUACUCUUGUGGAGGGAUUGAUGUCGUUAGAAAUCCCUGCUCACUGCUUCGAACACUUUAUUAGAAAAGAAGAUGAAUGUAACCAAAACUUAUACUGAGAAGAGGCGAGGACAUCUGCUGUGGCAGGUACACCACUGACAAAUUGGAAGACCAUGAAAAAGUGCUUGAGAAGAAGAAUCCCUUUUGCUCAACGAGACUUGGGGAAUUAAGUCUUACUGGGACUCGGUGACAUAAAAAGACAUUAAAAGAUGAGCCAGGAUAAAGAAGAAUGGAAAUCCUUGUUUAUUCCAUAAGUAAGAUUUAAUGUCAUGGGAAAUACUUGGAGAUGGAAGAUUCUGUUGCCACCUGUUCCUGUUUUAUAAGGAAAUCAGGAACACAUGAUAACAAAAGAAAAAGUGCUUCAUCAUUUAUUAGAACUUUUGUAGAGACUUUCAUCCCAGUAGGGACCAGAGGGCUUUUUUCAGUGAAAUCCUAUUUGCUUCAAUCAUAGGCAAUUUAUCAGAGAUUACUUUGUAAUAUCUCUGAAUAGCUGUAACAUUCCAAAGAAUGGAAAUUAAAUCAUCUUUUCAGGACUCUACUUAUAAGCUCUUGUGUGCUUCUUUCUGUCAUGCUGUCAACUCAUCCUGGUUUCAGCUGAAUCUCAAAAUAAAUAGAUUCAGAAGAGAUUAUGCUUUUGUACGUGUGCUCUAUGUCCUUUCUUGAAAGAAUUUUAGGAAAUUGAGAUGGAAUGGCUUCUCUCUUGAGAACUGUCCACUGUGCAAAUAGGCCCUUGGGAAACAUCAAACGAGGGCAUGCUAGCCCGGAUUGGUCCCACCUUACACCUGAACACACAAAGUAAGUCCCUCCACAUUGCACGUGCUUUGCAGUGAUAUUAAAGUGACCCAUUCUUAAUAAUAACGUUUUAGAAAUUAACUUUGAA